AUUGCUCCCUUUUUCCGGAUCCCCUUCUCUCCCCGCCGCGGCGCCGCCCCCUCUUCGCCCUAACCUAGCAACUCCUCUGGCGGCAGGCGAGCGAGCAGAGAUGAGCGACCGCCGCUGCUCCUGCAGUACCGGCGGGGAACUUAGGAUUCCGGCGAGAAGGGCAGAGGUGGACGCCUAGGGUGGCCGUGGCCGGGUGUCCAUGGCGGAUGGCGGCUGCAGCGGCGACAGCGCAGGAGACCUAUGCGGCCCGCCUGCAGAGCGUCGGCUCUAUGAGAGCGAGCCGGAGAAUUUGGAAGGAGAGAUGGAUGUUCUCUUGGAUCCAAGCACUCUAAGCAAUGAUUGGACGGUUGCUCUUUCAACAUAUUUUAUUAGCAAGGAUGGCAAGUGAAAGUUGGAGCGACUGGAUCAUAUGUCUGACAAAUUGUCCUUGCAGAAUUCGAUUCGGUAUAGCACCAUCGCAGAUGCAGACGACAAGGGGUUCAUCGUGCCAAGCACCUUGGUCCUGCUUCCGUGCGACGACGGCAACGGCUACAGAAACAACCAUGGUGAGCUCCUCUCCUUCCCGCCAGUGGUUGCUCUAAGCUCGUUGUGGCCAUCGUGCCAUGGCUAUGUCUGGUUAGGCUGCUAUAGUCCAUCCUUGCAUAACUAUGGGGCUACUGUUUUUUGUUUGUUUGUUCGUUUAUCUUCCUUGUUAUUAUCAUGCUACCACUAGCUUGCUUUUGAUAGAAACUUGCUGAAUGUAUUGCUGUAAAAUUAAGAACUUGCUGAAUAUAUAUAUCUUUGAGCAGCAACUGAUAGAAUAUAUAUAGCUCAUAUUCAUGUUAAUUCCCAUCCUACUGGAAGUUUGAACCACUUCUUCUUUGCACUCAACAACCAGGCAGCACACCUGAAUAUAUAUGCACAUAUGUAUGUAGUUUCCCAUCACACACAUGGAGCAGUCUUGUUUGUUAUGGGAUGUAGCAUCACCACUUAAUUUGAUCCCUACCUGCCUUCAUGAAAUUCCGACUGAUAUAUGUGGUCUAUGUACCAUUCAUGAUAUGCACUUACAUCGUCAGCUCAUGUUGGUCUUGUUUUAUUUCCAAGGAUGCCUUCCUACUCCUGCUAAUUUGAAUGUCGUAUUGCCUUGUUUCUAGGAUGAUGAAAUUCCAAAUAUCUGGUUGUGGUACGCUGCUCUCUCUUGACACUCAUUUUAUAGCACUAUAGUGUUCAUACAACAUGGACGGUGGGUAAGGACGCCAUGCAAGUAUGUUUGUCCCAGUAUGUCUUGCUUACCCAUUCAAUAUGCACAUCACUUAAUCCAAUUAGGAAAGACAUUUUAGACAAUGUCACGAAUAAGAAGUCGUCUCGAGAAAAGCGACGUCAAGAAUAACCAUAUCUUCCAAUAGGUGGAAGCGGGUGAGCCGAAAGGCAUAGUAGGUUGAGUUGGAGGCGUUGCCUUGCCAAUAGAAGGAGGCAUGGUGUCGAGGGAGAUGGCGCAUCAGAAGAACCCACAACACGCGGAUGACCAAUGUGGUAAACAAGAAGACGAGGGAGAAUCACUAGACAAGCCUCAAUGGACGAGCGAGGUGAGGUAGCCUCAGGUAACGAACGAGGUUGGGAAGCCGCAGGUGAUGGUGGCAUGGGGUCUACAUUAGCAGUACGGAAUGAUACGAUGGGAACGAGGACAAUACAUGAGUGAUAGGUGUAUCGGGAAAAGUGAGGAAAGAAAUAUCCUCAAUGGAGGAUGGACAUACAUAGAAAGGAUGGGACUCAUCAAAAGUCAUCACAUCCCAAAAAAUGAAACGUGCAUCCAAUGACUGAUAGGAUCCCAAUACCAACAACGCUUGCUCAUUAGUCAUCACUAUAGCCUAAGACGACACAGACUGAGUAGUUUGUUUGGUGCGUUCAUGGGGGGCAAGAAGAUCGUAGCAAACACAACUAAACAAACGAAGCACUUAGAAGCCACGAGAACGACCAAAAAAAACGCUUGAGACCCUGCAGAGUAGAGAAGGCCGAAUGUUAAUGGUGGAAGUAGAAACAAUCUCAACCCAAAAGUGAUGCUAAAGAGAGGCGACGAUCAUCAACGCAUGAGCUGCCUUAAGGUGACAAUGCUUGCGCUCAUCAACACCAUUCUGAGCAUGAGCACCAGUGCAAGAGAAUUAAGCAAGUGUGCCCUGCUCAGCAAGGUAUCCGCACAACAAAUGAGAGAUAUACCUACGAGUAGAAUCUGCACGGAAGACACAUAGAAGUGGAAAACAGGGUAUGAACCACGGCGGCAAACUUAUUACGGAUAGAUAAGGCCUUACUACAAGAAGACAUAAAAUAUAUCCAUGUGUGUCGAGAGAAAUCAUCUAUAAAGAUAAUAUAGUAGCGAUGACCUUCUUUUGAGGCAAAGGAAGCUGGACCUCAAACAUUAGAGUGAACAAGAUCGAAGGACGUUGAGACAUAGUCUUGCUAUGAGGAUAACGUACUUAACCUGUUUACCAAGUCGAUAAAUCUGACAGUCUAAAGACACAUUGUUAGAGAUAGAUCCAAGAAGACCACGCCGAACUAAAGAUGAGGUAUGAGAGGCACACAAGUUACCUAGACGAUGAUGCCACAAAUAGCCGGUUGUCUUGGUAAUAGAGGCGAAGAGACUAUCGGUGGUGUCCACAGAGGGAAGGUGAAGCUAGUGAGCUCCCGGAGGCCAUAGUAGUCAUAACACCGAGGACCAGCACCAAGUAAAGCACCCGUGUGAUGAUCCUAAUCGAAACAGUCAAGAAUGACUCUACAACCAGAGUCGACAAUUUAACCACCUGAAAUGAGCUAGUAAGUCAAGGAACAUGAGCCAAAGAAGGAACAAGACAAGACAAAUGCUAAGAGUGCCUUGACUAUCGAUUGGAAGGGAAGUACUAUCGGUAGUAAGAACCUGAACAUGAGAAUCUAGAGGUUUGAAUGGAGAACAUACUUGAAGACUGAUGAGUCAUAUGAAAAGACGCUCUAGUGAAGGAU